AGGUUAACCGUAUAGGGGAGCCGUAGGGAAACCGAGUCUUAACUGGGCGAAUGAGUUGCAGGGUAUAGACCCGAAACCCGGUGAUCUAUCCAUGGGCAGGUUGAAGGUUGGGUAACACUAACUGGAGGACCGAACCGACUAAUGUUGAAAAAUUAGCGGAUGACUUGUGGAUGGGGGUGAAAGGCCAAUCAAACCGGGAGAUAGCUGGUUCUCCCCGAAAGCUAUUUAGGUAGCGCCUCGUGAACUCAUCUUCGGGGGUAGAGCACUGUUUCGACUAGGGGGUCAUCCCGACUUACCAACUCGAUGCAAACUGCGAAUACCGAAGAAUGUUAUCACGGGAGACACACGGCGGGUGCUAACGUCCGUCGUGAAGAGGGAAACAACCCAGACCGCCAGCUAAGGUCCCAAAGUCAUGGUUAAGUGGGAAACGAAGUGGGAAGGCUCAGACAGCCAGGAUGUUGGCUUAGAAGCAGCCAUCAUUUAAAGAAAGCGUAAUAGCUCACUGGUCGAGUCGGCCCGCGCGGAAGAUGUAACGGGGCUAAACCAUGCACCGAAGCUGCGGCAGCGACACAAAGUGUUGUUGGGUAGGGGAGCGUUCUGUAAGCCUGCGAAGGUGUACUGUGAGGUAUGCUGGAGGUAUCAGAAGUGCGAAUGCU
rnacentral:rRNA from 1 species